rnacentral:rRNA from 1 species
UACAGAGGGUGCGAGCGUUAAUCGGAAUUACUGGGCGUAAAGCGUGCGUAGACGGUUACGUAAGUCGGGUGUGAAAGCCCCGGGCUCAACCUGGGAAUUGCAUUCGAGACUGCGAAGCUAGGGUGCGGAAGAGGGAAGCGGAAUUUCCGGUGUAGCGGUGAAAUGCGUAGAUAUCGGAAGGAACACCAGUGGCGAAAGCGGCUCCUGGUCCAGCACCGACGUUCAGGCACG